rnacentral:rRNA from 1 species
UACGUAGGUGGCGAGCGUUUAUCCGGAAUGAUUGGGCGUAAAGGGUGCGCAGGCGGUCCUGCAAGUCUGGAGUGAAACGUAUGAGCUCAACUCAUGCAUGGCUCUGGAAACUGGAGGACUGGAGAGCAGGAGAGGGCGGUGGAACUCCAUGUGUAGCGGUAAAAUGCGUAGAUAUAUGGAAGAACACCAGUGGCGAAGGCGGCCGCCUGGCCUGUUGCUGACGCUGAGGCACGAAAGCGUGGGGAGCAAAUAGGG